UGGGUGGCCCAGACAGACCCAGGCACCCUGGCGGCCGGCCAGGUGCAGGCGGAGGCCCGGUGACCACAGGGCGGCCUUGUGAAUGCCAUCCCUGGGCCCAGUGGCUGGGCAGCACUGACGUGGGACUGGGGGGUGGCCGGGAGUAGGGACAGGCCAGCCCCGUGUGACCUGGAGGGGGAGAGGGACCCAUGCCUCUUGCCCUGGACUGACCUCCUAGAGCUGCCAUGCUGGCACACAGAGAUGGCAGGACACGCUGGGGACAGCUUUGGAUCCGGUGACCUGGCUACCUGGAGGGACCAAGCUCCGACUCGAGGCUGCAGGGUGGAGGCACGCCUCCCCAGGGCUUGGAUCACAAGUGUGAGCCACCACGUCCGGCUUGAGCCCAGACCUGCAGGAGGGUGAAUGACUGUCCUGGACACACAUGGGAAAGAGAGUCACCGAGCCAAAGGCCCCACAGCCGCGCACUGAGGCUGAGGCCCUGCUAAUCAGUCCACCUUAGCCAAGAGGCCACGACACGGUGCGGCAGCUUUCACCGAGCCGGCAACUGCUUGGCUUGGCAGAAGUCGACUUGAACCCCCCGGGAGCUGCAGGGACCCACAGAGCUGCCGCCACCUCGGCUCUGUGGGUCAGCUGACCACGCUCCAGCCCCUACUCCAGCUUGAACCCAACUGGCUCAGGGCCACCCUCUGCCCUCAAUUAUGCAAGAAUUCUGAUGGCCUGCUUGCUUGGUCUUUUUCUGCAAUUUCAGCUGGGAAUUCCAGCCUCCCGCCAGGGAUUUAUCUUU